AGAUUUUUCUGGAAAAUAUAGCUGGUUAGUCAUGCCACCAAGGACUUCAGCUAAGUGUAGCGGUAAAAAAGGAGCUUUGAAAUUCUGCCUGGAAUCUGCUUUUGUCUUAGCCUGAUUACAACAUUGCUAUAUAUUAGGUGACCGAGACCUGGUGUACCUGGUGUACCCUAAGGUUAAUCUUCCAUCUUUUCAGCAACUGCACUUUUGCUAUAAUGAUUCAUAAUUUUAGAACACUGCCCUUGCCAGCACUACAUUUUGACUUCAUUAACAAGGGAAAUAGAUUAAGCUCUUAACUUCUUCCUCCAUCCAUUUAGUCAGAAAAACCUGCCGGCCACCUGCUUUCUUCUGGAUGCCCUUCAUUUUUCCUCUUGCCUGAUGGCUCUGGACAGAACCUACAGCGCUUUGUGAAACACAAGUGAUGGCCGUGAGUGCUUCUGUCUCGUUACUAAUGUGAGAGGA
rnacentral:lncRNA from 1 species